GUGAAGUGAAUCACAAACAAACUUAUACCCCUUUGUUUGAUCGUGAAAAUUUCUCCCCAUCCCCUUAUUUCUUAUAAUAAAAAAACCAUGCAAUCUUUUGAUUUGCAUGGUUUUU
rfam:Bacillus sp. FJAT-22058 super1, whole genome shotgun sequence.